GACGAACGCUGGCGGCGUGCCUAAUACAUGCAAGUAGAACGCAGUUGCGAACGGGUGAGUAACGCGUAGGUAACUGCCUCAUAGCGGGGGAUAACCAUUGGAAACGCUAGCUAAUACCGCAUACUGUUAGAUGGACCUGCUUUGUAUUUGCUAGUUGGUGAGGUAAAUGCUCACCGGGGCGACGAUACAUAGCCGGCCUGAGAGGGUGAGCGGGCACACUGGGACUGAGACAAGGGCCAGACGGCUAAGGUAGGCAGCAGUAGGGAAUGUUCGGGAAUGGACGGAAGUCUGACCGAGCAAAGCCGCGGGAGUGAAGAAGGGGUUCGGAUCGUUAAGGUCUGUUGUUAGAGAAGCGGUAACUAAACAGAAAGGGACGGCUAACUACGUGCCAGCCGCCGCGGUAAUAC
rnacentral:rRNA from 1 species